rfam:Cyberlindnera jadinii NRRL Y-1542 unplaced genomic scaffold CYBJAscaffold_3, whole genome shotgun sequence.
CACUCCUCUUUCUGCCCCACAUCCUUUUUUUGCUUCCAUAGGAUAGUGGGUUCUGGUAUGGAGAAGAAUGAGCCCAUUUCAACGUUCUUAGUCCGCCUUUUGAUACAUCUAGGGCUUUGUAAUUUUGGUGGGAUCGUGUCUAGGAUCACUUAAUUCCCGCGAGGGUCUGUGCUUUCCAUCUAUUAGGAUUGGACAGUGGUGGUUGAGACUACAUUU